CUGAAUUUUAAGAGGUACAAUAUAUAAUGCGAUUUGUACAAUCCUUUUAUGCUUGGAAAUCUUAUUCUGUCAACAAGCUACUAAGAACCACUAUGAAUCGGUCAAUAUGAGCGUCCUUAAGAACCACACUACCUGAUAUCCUCACCUAUAUCAACAAUCUCGCCUCCUUCCCUACUAGGAAAAUCCUAACUCUCUCAUGGCCUCCUACCCACAUUUUUUCCUUGGAAAAUCCUAACCACAAAAUCCAACACCCACCACCAUCCACCACUCCCGACAUGCUUCAGAUGUGUUCCAUCGCCAUCUUCACCACCAUCAAUUUGAACCACUACACCACCUUCCACAACAAAAGCGAUGUCUCCCUUUCACCCCAGUUGCUUCCAGAAAAAAAAACCUAAUCAGGGGUAUGAGCAUAUAUGGGGCUAUUUUGUAGAUUGAGUUGUAUGUUUUUGUUCAGUGAGGUUUUUGACUUUAAUGGUGGGUGUGGAAAUGCUUUUCGCUUCAAACCCUAGAUGAUUAUAUUGAUGAGUAGAUGAUAAGUGAGAUCCACACAUCAUUAGCAAUGAGAUAAUCUCAAUUUGGUGCUUAUCGAUGUCCACAUAUUGCUAUCUCCUAGUAGAACUACCAGAAAUGUUAUUAACCUUUUGUUAGAUUAACUUAAAUAAUAUAAUGAAGUAAUGGAUUGUUAAUCUACUCUUAGUAUAGAACCGCAAAUGAAGAGUUAUUUCAAGCGUUUUGUGGGUAGCUUCUUUUUAGCAUAUAUGAGCAUAGCAUAGUGUCCUUCACAUUGUUAUGUUCUAAUAUCUUCAAUUUCUCUAAUAUCUUCAACUUCUCUAAUUUUAAAAGGUACAUCAGAUUUUGAUCAUUUUUGUACAUAUAUAAGCAUAGCAUAGUGUUCUUCACAUAUUCACAUGUAUUUUUUUAAAUAAAAUUUAUGUUAUUUUGCUUAUGUGGUAGUCCAUCAAGAUUUGGAAUCAUGCCUAUGGGAAAUAUAUGUUGGAAAUUGUUCUGAUUAUGUAAUCCUUUUUAAAACUUUAUUAAACCAUUAUUUUUUCAAGAGACUUAUGAUAAUUUUGACUUUUAGCACAAGUAACAUGUUCGCACCUCUUUAAAAUCAAAGAUUUUUCCACAUAUUCUUAUGCAAACAUCAAACUGCUACUGGAUGCUUAUUUACUUCAUUCAAAGUCAAAUGUACUUCAAUUGCUUUUUAUGAUAGACCCUUGUUGAAUCUAUCAUAUACUCCAGGCAUUUUAACCCUUGAUCUAACAGAAUUACGAGAUGAUAUUAAGAUAAUUCCCAGCUUUCGAGAUGUGGGGAUCUCCAAGAAAGAACAAAGUUCAAUUCAUAAUAAUUCUUAGCUAAUCAAAACAAAAACAUAUAGGGGGAUAAAUACUCAACAAAACUCAGGGAAGCGGUCCCAAAAACAGAACCGGGACAAGGUUAGUGCUCCCACAAAACCAAACAGCUAAUAACAACCAUAAUACCAAAAAGACCAUUCUACCCCUAAGGCUAAAUAUAUAACGAAAUGACUCUAAUAAAGAAAAUCAAUCAAGGUGGUGUUUUAUUUUAUUUAUUUAUUAUUAUUUUAUUUUGUGUGUGUGUGUGUGUUCCAUUGGGUAAUUGUGGCGUGGUGUUUUUUUGUGGCAUCUUUCAUGUGAUGUGCUAAUUUACAAUUUUAGAUCAAUGUUUCUCUGUGUGUGGAUGUAAAUCCCCUGAGUUUGGGUUCCUUCCUUUUCAUGCACAAAGCUUUGGAUAAACUCAUUAAGCAUCUUAUGUAGCUUUACAGCUUAGCCCAUCUCAUCAAAGUUCGUAGUCUAAUUUAGUUGCCUAUAGUCAAUCUCUUGUUAUUACUCUUUAUACAAGUCUUGAUUAGUCACAUUUAGUGUUGCUCUGCUCUGUAACUAUGUAUCACAUUUAAUCUAUUUUUUUUAAUGUUGGUUUCAAUGCAAAGCAUAACUAAUGAAUAAAAAAGGAUUAUGCUUGGUUAAUCCCAAUUACUAAUAGUUAACCGGCUUUGACGAAAAGAAAUGAACCGUAACUGAUUGAAAGUUAACUGAUGCUCCUUGUCUCGCUUGAUGCUUAUUCGCGUGAAAAACAAUAUCAUUUUUCGCUUGCGCUCCCCCGUUAGAUGUGUGUAUUUCAAAUCGUUUUUUAAGUGAAAGAAAAAAACCGAACAAUUUUUUUGAGAAUCGGGUAGGUUAAAACAGAAACGCUAGUUAAUAAUAGGUUUUAAUAUAUGUAUUCCGGUUUUUCUAAUAUAACCGAAUUGGUCUUAACACCGUUUUCCAAUUAAAUUUUACUUCAAACAAACCGAAAUUAUAACCGAAACCGGUCUAAAAAAAUAAAAACCGAUUCAAAAUCAAUAUAAAACUAACGAAACUCGUUAGUUUUGGUAACCCUAAAUCCUCAUUAAAUCCGGAUUAAUAUUACUUGCUUCCAAAGAAACUAAUGACGACCCAACCUUAAUAAAACCCUAAUCUUGUUUAAUAUAUAAACAACUCUUCCUCUACAGAAGAGGGUUACGAACUUAAGCUCUCAUUUUUCAUCAUACUUUAACAGAAUCCUCUAGCAUAUUGACUUACGUUUUCUGUGCCUAAAAUCAUAAGUGUCCACUUGGAUUAUCCUAGGCUGAAUUUCUUAUAACCCAGACAUAGGGUAGAAAUAUCAGUUCAGAAAGUGAUAUCACGAUCCUGUUGGAUUAGUGUCUAAGUCCAUAACUAUUUUGGUAUGUACUUGACCCGACUAUGAGCAUGGUCCUUUUGGGUUGCCUUCACCAUAGCAAUAUGUAGGAUGAAUUAAGGAGACAGAGGUUUAAAUAUGAUUUAUUAAUAUAUUAUGAGAAUAAUAUAUUAAAGGGGAAAUCAUAUUGUUUAAUUAAUAUUAGUCAAGAAUUAAUUAAGAAUUAAUUUUGUGGCUAAAAGAGAUUAAUUAAAUUUAGAGGACUCGACUGCAAUUAUUGGAUAAUUGAGUUAUUAGGCUAAGGAAUGCUAAAGGAACAAGGGGUGAACGAAAUUAUGAUGCGAGCCCAUCAUAUUUUCGUCCAUGGCCUUAUCCAGAAGGCUCCAUGGGCUGCUUAGAGUUUAAGCUGUCCAUUAGGGUUUUGACUGAAACCCUAGCAGCCCACACAAGUAUAUAAAGAACCCUUUAGGCCCCAAAAACGUGUGGAACUGAUUCUUUAGGGUUUCUAGUCGUUUUUGGCAGCCUCCUUUCUUCUCCUCUUCAUCCAAGUUGCAUAAGGUGUUUGUGACUCCAUUAGAGGUGCAACACUUGAGGCACUAAGCUUUCCAAAGCCAAUCCAAGCAAGGAAUUGAUUGUUAUUGCUAUAUAACAAUCAAAGGUAAUUCUAUAUACCCUAAUUCAGUUUAUAAUAUGUUAGAUCUAAGUUUAUUAGUCUUGGAUUCAAAGCAUGUACAAUAGAGAAACCUAGAUCCAAACAUUAGGGUUUGUAUGAGCACAUAUGAUUGUUCUUAUGUCUAAAACC